UCUGUGAUGCCCUUAGAUGUUCUGGGCCGCACGCGUGCUACACUGACGCAUACAGCGAGUACAUCCCAGCUCCGUGAGGCAGCUGGUAAUCAGCAAUAUGCGUCGUGAUGGGGAUAGAUCUUUGGAAUUAUAGAUCUUGAACGAGGAAUUCCUAGUAAGCGCAAGUCAUUACCUUGCGCUGAUUAAGUCCCUGCCCUUUGUACACACCGC
rnacentral:rRNA from 1 species